rnacentral:rRNA from 1 species
CUACGGGAGGCAGCAGUGGGGAAUUUUGGACAAUGGGGGCAACCCUGAUCCAGCCAUUCCGCGUGAGUGAAGAAGGCCUUCGGGUUGUAAAGCUCUUUCGGCCGGGAAGAAAUCGUGCGGGCCAAUACCCUGUAUGGAUGACGGUACCGGAAGAAGAAGCACCGGCUAACUACGUGCCAGCAGCCGCGGUAAUACGUAGGGUGCGAGCGUUAAUCGGAAUUACUGGGCGUAAAGGGUGCGCAGGCGGUUUUGUAAGUCAGAUGUGAAAUCCCCGGGCUUAACCUGGGAAUUGCGUUUGAAACUACAAGACUAGAGUGUGGCAGAGGGAGGUGGAAUUCCGAGUGUAGAGGUGAAAUGCGUAGAGAUGUGGAGGAACACCGAUGGCGAAGGCAGCCCCCUGGGUCGACACUGACGCUCAUGCACGAAAGCGUGGGGAGCAAACAGGAUUAGAAACCCGUGUAGUCC